GGAGGGGUGUCCGAGUCCGGUUGAUGGUGACAGACUUGAAAUCUGUUGUACCCGCAAGGGUACCGGGGGUUCGAAUCCCUCCCCCUCCGCCA
rnacentral:tRNA from 1 species